UGAGAGAGAGAUAUAUAUACACAUCUAUUUCUCACACCUGCACACACUACACACAAAAUUAAAUUCUUCAAAAUACUUAAAUUUUCGUUAGGGUAAUCUUUAUUUUUAUUUUCUUCCCCCUUCUCUAUCAUCCCGUUUCUUUAAUCCCUUUCUGUAAGCAGUCUGUCUUUCAAGAAGUUUUUAUGGGUUUGUGUUUUUGAGGUUUUUGAAUUUGUAAAAAAUUGGAAAAAAUGCAAACUUAAAUGAAUUUUUCUUAAAAGCUAGGUGUUUUCAGAAACGAGAUUCAAGAAUUUCAGUAAAUUUGUAGAGUUCAUUACUCAUUUUUUUGUUUUUUCUAUUUUCAGCUUUAGAGGGCUUAUUAGUUGUCCCUUCUAAGGUUUAUUUUUUGUUACCACAAGAUAAAAGGGGUUGUUAUUUGAAAACCUCUUUGUAUCCACUUAUCUUUUUGUAUUUUCACUAUUUGUUGGUUUAUUAUUUCUUGGUAAUCAAUCACCUUUUCUUUUAUUUGAUAAGAAACAGGUUGAUCUUUUAAUUCUUUUUUUUCUUAAAUUUGUGUGAAUUUUAGGUAUGGCAGCUACAAUGGAUUUUUGGACUAGUACACUUUUAGAUCUUAACUCAUCAAACUCUUUGCAGGGUGGUGGUGAGCUGAUGGAAGCACUUGCACCUUUUAUCAAAAGUGCUUCUCCUAUCAAUUAUCCUCCUAUUUCACCUUCUUU
rnacentral:lncRNA from 1 species